rnacentral:rRNA from 1 species
UACGUAGGGUGCAAGCGUUAAUCGGAAUUACUGGGCGUAAAGCGUGCGCAGGCGGUUUUGUAAGUCUGUCGUGAAAGCCCCGGGCUCAACCUGGGAAUUGCGAUGGAGACUGCAAGGCUUGAAUCUGGCAGAGGGGGGUAGAAUUCCACGUGUAGCAGUGAAAUGCGUAGAGAUGUGGAGGAACACCGAUGGCGAAGGCAGCCCCCUGGGUCAAGAUUGACGCUCAUGCACGGAAAGCGUGGGGGAGCAAACAGG